GAUGAACGCUGGCGGCGUGCUUAAUACAUGCAAGUCGAGCGAACAGACGAGGCGUUUGCUCCUCUCUCGUUUGCGGCGGACGGGUGAGUAACACGUGUAAACCCUACCUGUCAUACUGGUAUAACCUCGGGACACCGGAGCUAAUACCGUAUAAUCUCUUGAACCGCAUGGUUCAAUAGUGAAAGACGGUGUUUCUGUCACGUAUAGAGGGUUCCCCGCCGCAUUAGAUAGUUGUUAAGGUAAAGGCUUACCACGGCAAGGAUGCGUAGCCGAACUGAGAGGGGGAUCGGCCACACGGGAACUGAGACAGGGACAAGACUCCUACGGGAGGCAGCAGUAGGGUAUGUGCCGCAAUAGGGGAGAACCUGACGGAGCGACGCGGAGUGAGUGAUGAAAAUCCUCGGAUCGUAAAACUCUGUUAUGAGUGAAGAACAAAUGUGUAAGUAAAUAUGCACGUCUUGACGGUACCUAAUCAGAAAGCAACGGCUAACUACGUG
rnacentral:rRNA from 1 species